GACGAACCGUACGAACGUUAUUCGGAAUUACUGGGCUUAAAGGGUGCGUAGGUGGGUUGGUAAGUCAGUGGUGAAAUCUCCAGGCUUAACUUGGAAACUGCCAUUGAUACUAUUAAUCUUGAAUGCCGUGGAGGUCAGCGGAAUAUGUCAUGUAGCGGUGAAAUGCUUAGAUAUGACAUAGAACACCAAUUGCGAAGGCAGCUGGCUACACGAAUAUUGACACUGAUGCACGAAAGAGUGGGGAUCAAACAGG
rnacentral:rRNA from 1 species